GAAACACAGAGAAUGUUGUGCCUGGAGACUUGCUUCAGCCCCCAGGGAUUAAAGGGCAGAGAGAAAGAGGACAAGCAUCUUGAUGCCUGAGCCAGUAAGUCCUACAAACUGUGGAAGAAAGGCCCAGAGGCAGGGCUCCCAAGUAGGGAGGGCUUGGCUGUACCCAGGUUUUUUUCUUCAGGCCAAGCCAGAAGGCAGUUCAGAAACUCAGGAUGCUGUCCUCCUCACGGUCAGACCUGGGAACCCAAGGAGGGCAUUAUGUGGCCCUGGCCUGGGGGCUGAGCAGAAAUCUUCACUGGAAGUGGCUUGGUUGAGUCUCCUGAAGCUGCUGACACUGUCUCCUUGGCUAACCCCACAAGGGCCGUUUGCUGGGACUUCUAACUUGACAUUGGCAUUGACAUCCCCCUCACAAGAGAGAAGGAGAGGCACCUGCAGUCCUGCUUCCCCUGUGUAUGGGAACCAGGAACUUGAACCCACGUCCAUGUGCUCUAGCAG